rnacentral:rRNA from 1 species
GAUGAACGCUGGCGGCGUGCCUAAUACAUGCAAGUCGAGCGAACAGACGAGGAGCUUGCUCCUCUGAUGUUAGCGGCGGACGGGUGAGUAACACGUGGAUAACCUACCUAUAAGACUGGGAUAACUUCGGGAAACCGGAGCUAAUACCGGAUAACAUGUUGAACCGCAUGGUUCAACAGUGAAAGACGGUUUUGCUGUCACUUAUAGAUGGAUCCGCGCCGCAUUAGCUAGUUGGUAAGGUAACGGCUUACCAAGGCAACGAUGCGUAGCCGACCUGAGAGGGUGAUCGGCCACACUGGAACUGAGACACGGUCCAGACUCCUACGGGAGGCAGCAGUAGGGAAUCUUCCGCAAUGGGCGAAAGCCUGACGGAGCAACGCCGCGUGAGUGAAGAAGGUCUUCGGAUCGUAAAACUCUGUUAUUAGGGAAGAACAAAUGUGUGAGUAACUAUGCACGUCUUGACGGUACCUAAUCAGAAAGCCACGGCUAACUACGUG